rnacentral:rRNA from 1 species
UACGAAAGGGGCUAGCGUUGUUCGGAAUUACUGGGCGUAAAGCGCGCGUAGGCGGCUUUGCAAGUUGGGGGUGAAAUCCCGGAGCUCAACUCCGGAACUGCCUUCAAAACUGGUAGGCUCGAGUCCGGAAGAGGGGCGUGGAAUUCCCAGUGUAGAGGUGAAAUUCGUAGAUAUUGGGAAGAACACCGGUGGCGAAGGCGGCGCCCUGGUCCGGUACUGACGCUGAGGCGCGAAAGCGUGGGGAGAAAACAGG